GAUGAACGCUGGCGGCGUGCCUAAUACAUGCAAGUCGAGCGAACGGACGAGAAGCUUGCUUUUCUGAUGUUAGCGGCGGACGGGUGAGUAACACGUGGAUAACCUACCUAUAAGACUGGGAUAACUUCGGGAAACCGCAGCUAAUACCGGAUAAUAUUUUGAACCGCAUGGUUCAAAAGUGAAAGACGGUCUUGCUGUCACUUAUAGAUGGAUCCGCGCUGCAUUAGCUAGUUGGUAAGGUAACGGCUUACCAAGGCAACGAUGCAUAGCCGACCUGAGAGGGUGAUCGGCCACACUGGAACUGAGACACGGUCCAGACUCCUACGGGAGGCAGCAGUAGGGAAUCUUCCGCAAUGGGCGAAAGCCUGACGGAGCAACGCCGCGUGAGUGAUGAAGGUCUUCGGAUCGUAAAACUCUGUUAUUAGGGAAGAACAUAUGUGUAAGUAACUGUGCACAUCUUGACGGUACCUAAUCAGAAAGCCACGGCUAACUACGUG
rnacentral:rRNA from 1 species